AACCGAGGAAGUGGGGAUGACGUCAAGUCCUCAUGGCCCUUAUGGUAGGGCUUCACACGUCAUACAAUGGUCGGUACAGAGGGUUGCCAAGCCGCGAGGUGGAGCCAAUCCCUUAAAGCCGAUCGUAGUCCGGAUCGUAGUCUGCAACUCGACUACGUGAAGUCGGAAUCGCUAGUAAUCGCAGAUCAGCAUGCUGCGGUGAAUACGUUCCCGGGUCUU
rnacentral:rRNA from 1 species